rnacentral:sRNA from 1 species
GCUGGGCAUGGUGGCGCGUGCCUGUAGUCCCAGCUACUCAGGAGGCUGAGGCAGGAGAAUUGCCUGAACCCAGGAGUCGGAGGUUGCAGUGAGCCGAGAUCGCGCCAUUGCACUCCAGCCUGGGUAACAAGAGCAAAACUCUGCCUCAA